AUUCGAACGGCGUGGCGGCAUGGCCUUACACAUGCAAGUCGGAACGGCGAGACGAUGAUCUAGCUUGCUAGAUUGAUGGCGAGUGGCGAACGGGUGAGUAAUACAUCGGAACGUGCCCUGUAGUGGGGGAUAACUAGUCGAAAGAUUAGCUAAUACCGCAUACGACCUGAGGGUGAAAGUGGGGGACCGCAAGGCCUCAUGCUAUAGGAGCGGCCGAUGUCUGAUUAGCUAGUUGGUGAGGUAAAGGCUCACCAAGGCGACGAUCAGUAGCUGGUCUGAGAGGACGAUCAGCCACACUGGGACUGAGACACGGCCCAG
rnacentral:rRNA from 1 species